UACGGGGGGGGCAAGCGUUGUUCGGAAUUACUGGGCGUAAAGGGCUUGUAGGUGGCCUACUAAGUCAGACGUGAAAUCCCUCGGCUUAACCGGGGAACUGCGUCUGAUACUGGAUGGCUAGAGUGUGGGAGAGGGAUGCGGAAUUCCAGGUGUAGCGGUGAAAUGCGUAGAUAUCUGGAGGAACACCGGUGGCGAAGGCGGCAUCCUGGACCACGACUGACACUGAAAAGCGAAAGCCAGGGGAGCAAACGGG
rnacentral:rRNA from 1 species